UACGUAGGGUGCAAGCGUUGUCCGGAAUUAUUGGGCGUAAAGAGCUCGUAGGCGGUUUGUUGCGUCGGCUGUGAAAUCCCGAGGCUCAACCUCGGGUCUGCAGUCGAUACGAGCAAACUAGAGUGUUGCAGGGGAGACUGGAAUUCCUGGUGUAGCGGUGAAAUGCGCAGAUAUCAGGAGGAACACCGGUGGUGCAGACGGCUCUCUGGACCGUAACUGACGCUGAGACACGAAAGCGUGGGUAGCAAACAGG
rnacentral:rRNA from 1 species